ACCUACGGGGGGCAGCAGUGAGGAAUAUUGGUCAAUGGGCGGGGGCCUGAACCAGCCAAGCCGCGUGAGGGAAGAAGGUACAGCGUAUCGUAAACCUCUUUCGUCAGGGAACAAAGGCGGGGACUAGUCCCCGGAUGAGGGUACCUGAAGAAAAAGCAUCGGCUAACUCCGUGCCAGCAGCCGCGGUAAUACGGAGGAUGCGAGCGUUAUCCGGAUUUAUUGGGUUUAAAGGGUGCGCAGGCGGCCUGUUAAGUCAGCGGUAAAAGCCCGGGGCUCAACCCCGGCGGGCCGUUGAAACUGGCGGG
rnacentral:rRNA from 1 species